CCUACGGGGGGCAGCAGUGGGGAAUAUUGGACAAUGGGGGGAACCCUGAUCCAGCCAUGCCGCGUGUGUGAAGAAGGCCCUCGGGUUGUAAAGCACUUUCAGUGAGGAAGAACGCCUGGUGGUUAAUACCCAUCAGGAAAGACAUCACUCACAGAAGAAGCACCGGCUAACUCCGUGCCAGCAGCCGCGGUAAUACGGAGGGUGCGAGCGUUAAUCGGAAUUACUGGGCGUAAAGCGCGCGUAGGUGGCUUGAUAAGCCGGUUGUGAAAGCCCCGGGCUCAACCUGGGAACGGCAUCCGGAACUGUCAAGCUAGAGUGCAGGAGAGGAAGGUAGAAUUCACGGUGUAGCGGUGAAAUGCGUAGAGAUCGGGAGGAAUACCAGUGGCGAAGGCGGCCUUCUGGACUGACACUGACACUGAGGUGCGAAAGCGUGGGUAGCAAACAGGAUUAGAUACCCCAGUAGUC
rnacentral:rRNA from 1 species